rnacentral:tRNA from 1 species
GAUCCCGUAGCUCAGCUGGAUAGAGCACCGGUUUCCUAAACCGGGGGUCGCAGGUUCAAAUCCUGCCGGGAUCGCCA